rnacentral:lncRNA from 1 species
AAUGCACCCCUCUUCCUCCCCGGGGCCUUCCACCUCCGCGAGUUUUAUGACUUAAAAAAGCCCACAGGCUGGUCUGAAGAGGAAGACAAACAUAAAGAUGAAGUGCUUAAUUCAAGGUCACACAAUGUCGGGGAUGGACCUCCAGAUUUCCUUACUGACCUGCAUUAUCUUGUGGAUACCUGAGUGAAUUCCACACCACCCAUUUUAUAGAUGAAACCACUGAGACAUGGAGCAAUUGACUGAGUAGUCACUGCCCCACCCCUGCCUGGAGCCUCACACAUGACUCGCCUCCUCUCAGUGACCACAGGAAAACAAGCUCAGGGCUCCCACUGAUUGUACAUUAUGGUGAGACGUGGUCUUGUAACACAGUGGUUAAGAAUGUGACUUUGGAGCCAGCCUGCUAGGGGCUGAAUUCUGACUCAGCCAUUUACUAACUGUGUGACCUUAGGGAGGAGGACCUGGUUGAUAGAAGAAUUUAUCUCGUAGUCUUAACAUCCACUGUAAUUCCAAACUUUGAGGACGAUAGAGAUCAGUGGGCUUUGACUGCCCAGCAUGCAGUCUCCAUUCUUAGGUCACAGAAUUUUCCACACUCCUUGACAGAGGUGCUUAACCCUUAUCCAUCAGCAUUCUCAGACAGCACCUCCGGUUAGGGACAGUAUCUGACCGUCCGACAUCCCUGCAGCCCCCAUGUGUCACACAGACUCAGCCUCAGGUAGAUGGUUUCCGUAGAUGGUGGCUUUCUU